AUUGAACGCUGGCGGCAGGCCUAACACAUGCAAGUCGAACGGUAACACGGUACGGCUUGCCGCUUAGCGGUCGCGAGGCGCGGGGGUGUGACAUGUCUGUGAAACUGCCUGAUGGCGGGGGAUAAAUCGUGGAAACGGUAGCUAUUACCGCAUAACGUAGCAACCGCAAAGAGCAGGAGCUUCGCGCCUCUUGCCAUCGGCUGUGCCCAGAUGGGAUUAGCUAGUAGGUGGGGUAACGGCUCACCUAGGCGACGAUCCGUAGCUGGUCUGAGAGGAUGAUCAGCCACACUGGAACUGAGACACGGUCCAGACUCCUACGGGAGGCAGCAGUGGGGAAUAUUGCACAAUGGGCGCAAGCCUGAUGCAGCCAUGCCGCGUGGGUGAAGAAGGCCUUCGGGUUGUAAAGCCCUUUUAUCGGGGAAGAAGAGAGGAAAGUUAAUACCUCGGCGCAUUGACGGUACCCAAAGAAGAAGCACCGGCUAACUCCGUG
rnacentral:rRNA from 1 species